GUGGCUGUGGUGAAGAGGCCAAACACGGCGGAUUGUGGCUCCGUUAUUCGAGGGUUCGAAUCCCUCCAGUCACC
rnacentral:tRNA from 1 species